CCUACGGGUGGCAGCAGUGAGGAAUAUUGGUCAAUGGGCGUAAGCCUGAACCAGCCAAGUCGCGUGAGGGAGGAAGGUUCUAUGGAUCGUAAACCUCUUUUAUAAGGGAAUAAAGUGUGGGACGUGUCCCAUUUUGUAUGUACCUUAUGAAUAAGCAUCGGCUAACUCCGUGCCAGCAGCCGCGGUAAUACGGAGGAUCCGAGCUUUAUCCGGAUUUAUUGGGUUUAAAGGGUGCGCAGGCGGCCUUUUAAGUCAGUGGUGAAAGUCCGGGGCUCAACCAUAGAAUUGCCGUUGAAACUGGGGGGCUUGAGUUUGUUAGAGGCAGGCGGAAUGCGUGGUGUAGCGGUGAAAUGCUUAGAUAUCACGCAGAACCCCGAUUGCGAAGGCAGCCUGCCGAGCCAAGACUGACGCUGAUGCACGAAAGCGUGGGGAUCAAACAGGAUUAGAUACCCUUGUAGUC
rnacentral:rRNA from 1 species